rnacentral:rRNA from 1 species
UACAGAGGUCCCAAGCGUUGUUCGGAUUCACUGGGCGUAAAGGGUGCGUAGGCGGUUGGAUAAGUCUGACGUGAAAUCUCCGGGCCUAACCCGGAAACUGCGUUGGAUACUAUCCGGCUAGAGGAAUGGAGGGGAGACUGGAAUACUUGGUGUAGCAGUGAAAUGCGUAGAUAUCAAGUGGAACACCAGUGGCGAAGGCGAGUCUCUGGACAUUUCCUGACGCUGAGGCACGAAAGCCAGGGGAGCAAACGGG